rnacentral:rRNA from 1 species
AUUGAACGCUGGCGGCAGGCCUAACACAUGCAAGUCGAACGAGUGGCGGACGGGUGAGUAAUGUCUGGGAAACUGCCUGAUGGAGGGGGAUACCUACUGGAAACGGUAGCUAAUACCGCAUACCAUCAGAUGUGCCCAGAUGGUAUUGGCUUGUUGGUGGGGUAACGGGUCACCAAGGCGACGAUCCCUAGCUGGUCUGAGAGGAUGACGAGCAAAACUGGAACUGAGCAACGGUCCAGAUUCCUACGGGAGGCAGCAGUGGGGAAUAUUGCACAAUGGGCGCAAGCCUGAUGUAGCCAUGCCGCGUGUAUGAAGAAGGCCUUCGGGUUGUAAAGUACUUUCAGCGGGGAGGCGUUACCCGCAGAAGAAGCACCGGCUAACUCCGUGCCAGCAGCCGCGGUAAUUC